rnacentral:lncRNA from 1 species
ACCGUAGCUGCAAAUCUUGACCCAAUUUACACGACGGAAACAGGUACAUGAUUGAUUGAAGAUGUAUUUGUUGGUUGCCUGCCUACCAGGCAAACAUUGGUAUUCAUGCUGACUAGAACCCUACAGAUGGAUCAGAAUGGGUAAGGCCUGGAUACCAUGCUGAUGGUCAAACAUUUGCGGCUACGGCUAAUCUAACACUAGAUCAUGCUAUUAAUAAGAUGCAGCUGCGAGAUGAUACUGAAGGUAUCCAUAGGCAUGAUAUCCACCUUCCCAACCGGCGUAUUCGGCAGUGGUUCAGUGUGUUUUAUUUGUUUUUUGAUUUGUACUUAUAACAUGAUGCAGACGACACAGCUUCCGAACUGCUUGAAACUGUUUCUCUAAAUAAUGAAUGCAAAAAAUACGCUGAGGAAGCAAGGGAGCAGUACAAUGCAAGGAGGCGUGCAGCUUAUCGGAAGAAAAAUAAUGAGGAUAUUGU